rnacentral:rRNA from 1 species
UGUAAGCGUAUACCAAAGUUGUUGCAGUUAAAACGCUCGUAGUCGGAAUUUGGCAGUUCCGGAUGUGUGCACGUCGUGUGCGCACUUCGCGGGGAUUGCUUUUGUGGUCUUGCGUAGGAUGAGGCACUUUUAUUAGUGAACGUCCUCACGCAACCACUUUUUACUGUGAGAAAAUCAGAGUGCUCAAAGCAGGCAUUUGCCGUGAAUGUAUUAGCAUGGAAUAAUAGAAUAGGACUUGGUUCUAUUUUGUUGGUUUGUUGGGACUGAGUAAUGAUUAAGAGGGACAGUUGGGGGCAUUUGUAUUUCGGUGCUAGAGGUGAAAUUCUUAGAUUACCGAAAGACAAACUGCUGCGAAAGCUUCUGCCAAGGAUGUUUUCAUUGA